GAUGAACGCUGGCGGCGUGCUUAACACAUGUAAGUCGAACGGUGAAGCAGGAGCUUGCUCUUGUGGAUCAGUGGCGAACGGGUGAGUAACACGUGAGCAACCUGCCCCUGACUCUGGGAUAAGCGCUGGAAACGGCGUUUAAUACUGGAUAUGUGAUGUGACCGCAUGGUCUGCAUCUGGAAAGAAUUUCGGUUGGGGAUGGGCUCGCGGCCUAUCAGCUUGUUGGUGAGGUAAUGGCUCACCAAGGCGUCGACGGGUAGCCGGCCUGAGAGGAGGACCGGCCACACUGGGACUGAGACACGGGCCAGAAUCCUACGGGAGGCAGCAGUGGGGAAUAUUGCACAAUGGGCGGAAGCCUGAUGCAGCAACGCCGCGUGAGGGAUGACGGCCUUCGGGUUGUAAACCUCUUUUAGCAGGGAAGAAGCGAAAGUGACGGUACCUGCAGAAAAAGCACCGGCUAACUACGUGCCAGCCGCCGCAGUAA
rnacentral:rRNA from 1 species